AGAGCGUCCCCCGGGCGCUCCUCGGUGCGUUUUGCGGUGGAAGUUGCAGGAACAUUGCAGAGUUUUCGUGGCCGCUGAUGAUAAACGUCAUAAAACUGAGCCGACUGCUGUCAAGCGUUUCACUUAUGUAUCUUGCAUCACACUGAGCAAGGGAAGAAGGAAAUAUCCAUCCCAUUCUAGGGUCAAAAUACUUUAUGAAGUAACUUCCAUAAUCUAAUGUUACCCAUGGAGAACAGAAGAGGUUCUGAGUUCUGUUGACUAAAAUGUGGGCAUUGAGGAGAAGAUGGAGGACAGACCUCAUCACGGUCUACAACUUCUUCAAGUCAAGGGGAAGUGGAGGGACAGCAUCUAUCUCUUGACUCUGGUGAUUGUGUCCUCUUCAGGUGAGCUCCUAAAUGAGAUAAGCCAAGCAUUUCCUUCAGGAACAGCAAGUCCAGUUGCAGUGGAGUGAUUAAUCCACUUAAUCCAUGGACGUGAGAGAACCAUCUUUCUCAUCUAGGACCAAGCUGAAUGUAAUUUAGCUGCACAAUUGGUAAGCAAAAUGGAUGCAUUUUUGUUUAAAUGCUGAUGUUUCCAGUUAGCCAGUGCUAGCCAAUGCUGGCUUUGAACAUUCAGCUGUUGACCUCCCAGUGAAUUGCUGCACACUGUCUAACUGUGUCCUCCUUCAGCAUUCCCUGCUGAGAUGACCCACCAUCAUUCUUCCCAUAAUUAGCUUCUAAAGGUUAUUUUCAUCUCUAUGCUGAUGUGAAUAAAGUGUGUAAAUUUGCACCUGUUGAUUUCUGACAAUAGUGAAGCUUUUCCAGUAAUAUUUCUAACUUCAACUUUCAUCUUGUUUUCCAUGCAGAGUUUCACAAGGAUCUUUGGCAGCAUCAUAUCUCAAAGGCUUCACUUUUCUUUCAGCAGAAUUAGCUUUUCACAGUUUCUGCCUGGAGUUUGCUGUGGAAGUGACGGAGUUUCACCAACCAGGUUUUCAAAUAAUUCACAGUGUAGUUAUUUGCAGUUUAUCUUGAGGCAGGUGUAAAAAUUGCUGAAUUGCUGGGUUCAGCUCCAGUAAAUCCACAUUACCUUGAUUAAGCCAAUCUUUCAUUUCUUGGCAAUGAUCUCCUUUAUUAAACCUGCAUGAUCCUAUGUAAGUGAAUUCAGCUAUUGCAUAUCAGUUUGCCAUUAAUUAUAAUUUUGCUUAUGUCCUCUUUUAUAACUCAGUGCACAAUGUAUUUUCCUGCUGGUGUUAAUGAUUUAAUUUAAUCUGGUGGGGGUCAGCCAUCCAUGAGAGUAGAACUUUGGUGAAGGUACAUUAUUUUACCUGUGUUAAAACACUACCUAGGCAAGGAGACCAGAGGUAACACCCAAGAACACUAAGGAAAUACUUUGUUGGUUGCUCCAGUUGUCAGGAUAUGGGAUGUUGGAUUGUGAGUGAUUUUGCUCUUUGUGUAAUUUCAGGCAAUAUAUUUUUUUUUAGUUGAUUUCUUCUUGGAACAUCUUCCAUAUGCUAGAAUAUUUAAAGUGUAUUUUUAAAUAGUGACUGGCAAUCUGCAAAACACCAUUUUAGCAUGAAUGAGGUCAUAUGCUACUAAAAUACUACUUAUACGAGGACACUGAGAUGAAUUGAAAGUAGCACAGCUAAAAAGUGAAGGCAACAGGUGUUUUAUUAGAUUGCAGAUAUUGGCUUUUUUAACAUCUGUAGGAUAACUGCUACUUCAUCCUAAAACUUUUUGAAAAUUUGCAUGUUUCCACUACUGAAUAUCAGUAAGUCCCAGUGUUCCUAAUUUAGAGUGUAUUCCUUUAAGGUGUUUUUGACUAAUAAAAUGUGAUAUCCUCUUCUAGCACAUCACCAGUUUCAUAAAGUGAUGCAGGAUCAAAAGAAUUUUGGUUGGAUACCAGGAACCUGAUUACUAAGAGUAUUCUGAAAAAGGAACAGGACAGGCUGUGCUCCUACACAAAAACAAACAAACAAACAACAAAAACCACCCUGGAGUUAUCAGCGUUCUGUAAUUUUCACAGAGAUGACUGUAAAGUGUAUGUGCAGUCUGUCAGGAAGAAGUAUUUUUUGUAUUGCAAGAAAUUGGAGAGUAAUUUGUUUUGGUGCAAUUAUUUUAAUCACCUCUUUAGUAAGGAAGAAUUGUGAGAUUUAUCUCUACCCAAAUGCCUUGGACUAUUAAUUUGAGCAAGUCAACAAAGUGAAGCAUCCUGGACUUCAAUUUUCCCAUUGUUUAAAAUUGAUCUUCCCUAGUUUACCCUUAUAAAGUAAUUUAAAGAACUUUUUGAAAUAUGCUGUUUGAGUCCAUGUUGUUGAGAGUUUUAGCACAAUCAUCCCAAGAAUAGAUAGUUGAUAAUUACAGUCAAAUCAUUCAUCCUGAUGCUUCAGAUUUGAUCUCCUGUAUGCAGAAUGCUAUAACAGUCUCACAUUUUAAGAAUAUGCCACCUCCCAUAAAGCAGUAGUUUCAGGUGACUAAUCAUUGUGUAUAGCACAGAGCUGACAUUUAAAUGCAAAUCAGGGCCUUUUGCUUUGUGCAGUUUUGGAUCUCAGCCCACAGUUCAGAGGCAGAACACUUCACAGAAGCUUCACACAGUGUAACUGUGAACUGGGCUCUUCAGGACAAGAAAGAUUCAGAGCUCUGGAGAUGGUCCAGCAAAGGCCACAAAGAUGAUGAGGGUUCUGGAGCAUCUCUGAGGAGGAGAGACUGUGGGAGCUGGGCCUGUUUAGUCUGGAGCAGACUGAGAUGAGAUGAGAUGAGAUGAGAUGAGAUGAGAUGAGAUGAGAUGAGAUGAGAGAUCUCAAUAAUCCAUACAAUAUUUCCGGGGAGGAUGACAAGAAGAUUGUGCCAGGCUCUUGUCAGUGGUGCCCAGUGACAGGACAAGGAGCAAUGGCCAUAAACUGCACAAGAAGUUUUAUCCAAACAUGAAGAAGAACAUGGAGUUCCAUGGAGUGAGGCAGAGCACUGGAACAGGGAGCCCAGGAGUCUUGUGAAGUUUCCCUCUCUGGAGACAUUCCAAACCCACCUGGAUGCAUUCCUGUGUCACCUGCUCCAGUGACCCUGCCUUGGCAGGAGGGGUUGGGCAGGGUGAUCUCCAGAGGUCCCUUCCUAAAAGCUCUGUGUUCCAUGAGUCUGUGAAAAAUACAGAUUUAACUAGAAACAGUAAAAUUAAAAAAACCCACAUGGAUGUAGUGGCUACAACACAUAAAAUGAUGAUCUAUGUAAUUUGCAAGUGCACAUGCUAUUUAAAGUGAGUGCAACUGAAGUGUCAGUGUGGAAACGUGGAGUGUCAGAGCCAUCUGGAAAAAAGGACCCUGCCCUUUUCAGACAUCAUUUAUGCCCAAGACCCUUGCUGUCAUGGCUACUGGAAGUUUUGCCUGUCUUAAGAUUUCACAUAGAGAGCCUUUCUUAGGCUUUACUGUAAUGGCAUGUAAUGAAAGUACGAAUACUAUCUGAAUAUCAUUUGUCCAUACAAAGCAAUAUCUUAUGACCUGGGGAAAACUCUGGCUCUGUGAAAACUGAUGCAGAAUAUUUUUUGUGACUCCAUUGGAGCCAGGAUUUUCUGUAUCUUCCAAUACUUUCACAGUAAUUGGAUGUGGAGCUGGACAUCAAUAAUAAUGAGCAGAUAAUAUUGAGCUGUAGAAUGUUAUUUGCUGUAAUGGUUGUGAUCAGAGGCAAAUCUGUCUUCUGCCCCUUCCAAAGGAGCCCUCAGUCUUUUCAGAAACACAUUGAGAGAAGAGAAAAUGGUCAGUUCAGUCAUAGGUGCAGUCCAGCUUUCCACCAGCUGUGUGGGCCAGAGCUAAGAAAUCCCACUGCAGUUAAAGACAGCCUCAAGGGAUACUUGACUAAUGGUGUAGCUGUCCAAUGCCUCCCCACGUCAUUCCUGGAGUAA